rnacentral:rRNA from 1 species
UAUAUUAAAGUUGUUGCAGUUAAAAAGCUCGUAGUUGGAGUUCAGAGUGAGCUCGUCCGGUCGGCCUUAUGGGUCAGAACUGGUUGACUCUCUCUUGUUUGUGGAUCCUGUUCGGAGUUAACUCUUCGGAUGUGGAGUCCACAUCGUUUACCUUGAAAAAAUUAGAGUGUUCAAAGCAGGCGUUUGCUUGAAUAUAUUAGCAUGGAAUAAUGGAAUAGGACGCUGGUUCUAUUUUGUUGGUUUUGAGAACCAGAGUAAUGAUUAAUAGGGACAGUUGGGGGCAUUCAUAUUUCAUUGUCAGAGGUGAAAUUCUUGGAUUUAUGAAAGAUGAACUUCUGCGAAAGCAUUUGCCAAGGAUGUUUUCAUUAAUCAAGAACGAAAGUUAGGGGAUCGAAGACGAUCAGAUACCGUCGUAGUCUUAACCAUAAACUAUGCCGACUAGGGAUUGGACGUGGUUUGUUCAUUGACCCGUUCAGCACCUUACGAGAAAUCAAAGUCUUUGGGUUCCGGGGGGAGUAUGGUCGCAAGGCUGAAACUUAAAGGAA